UACAGAGGUCCCAAGCGUUGUUCGGAUUCAUUGGGCGUAAAGGGUGCGUAGGUGGCGUCGUAAGUCGGGUGUGAAAUCUCGGGGCUUAACUCCGAAACUGCAUUCGAUACUGCGGUGCUUGAGGACUGGAGAGGAGACUGGAAUUUACGGUGUAGCAGUGAAAUGCGUAGAUAUCUGGAGGAACACCGGUGGCGAAGGCGGCAUCCUGGACCAACACUGACGCUGAGUGAGCGAAAGCCAGGGGAGCAAACGGG
rnacentral:rRNA from 1 species